CUCCACCCCUCCAAGCCUCUGCCAGUGCCUGGUGCAGUUCUGAGAGGGGCACAGACAGUGCCUGGGCCUAGCUCCCUCCCCACCCAGCCUCUAAAGCACCCUAGGGUUUUUGGCACAUGGACAAGGGCUGGGGAGGUCCCGAGGCUCUGCACCUCUGCCAAGCUCCCUGGAGGCCUCUGAGCCACACUGGGCCUCAGGCCCACAGUGCUCUGUCCAAGUAUUGCAGACAGUGCGUGCUGCGGGGGUUGUUUGUUUCGAAGCUAUCACCUUGGAACUGGAUCUACAGCCUCAUUGCCUCGCCGGGUCGCCGGGCUGACCCCUUCAUGGACUGGGCAGAUCAGGAUCAAAGUAUAAGCUCCAGCAAAAUCUGAAUUUCAAGAUAAACAGCGGAAGCUUCUUUUUAGCCUAAGUAUGUGCAACGCAGUCUGGGACAGAGCCAAAAACAAUAGGUUUAUCUGAAAUUUAAAGUUGGCCUUGCUGUCCUUGGCAGUCUACUCCGCACUCCACGCCUGGCUACCAGCCCCACGGGCUCUGCUGUCCCCUCCUUCCACCCCCCGACCCCAGAUGGUCACUCCACUGGAGCAGGGCCCCUGAGCCCCUGGUCCCACGCUGGGCUGUGGCCAGGCUUCCCAGUGGCCUCUAUCAGAGGGGAGCAGCCUGUGAGUCCCAUCACCCUGUGCCCCAG
rnacentral:lncRNA from 1 species